AGAAGCUGCGGCACGCUGCGAUCUUUUGAUCUGUUUUUUUAAAACCAGCGUCAAAAGAUCGCAGCGUGCCGCAGCUCCU
rnacentral:antisense_RNA from 1 species